AUCAACUUUCGAUGGUAGGAUAGAGGCCUACCAUGGUGGUAACGGGUAACGGGGUGUUAGGGCACGACACCGGAGAGGGAGCCUGAGAAACGGCUACCACAUCCAAGGAGGGCAGCAGGCGCGCAAAUUACCCAAUCCCGACACGGGGAGGUAGUGACAAUAAAUAACAAUACAGGGUUCUUUUGGAUCUUGUAAUUGGAAUGAGUACAAUUUAAAUCUCUUAACGAGGAACAAUUGGAGGGCAAGUCUGGUGCCAGCAGCCGCGGUAAUUCCAGCUCCAAUAGCGUAUAUUAAAGUUGUUGCAGUUAAAAAGCUCGUAGUUGAAUUUCGGGGUUAGUAAGCUGGUCGUGCCACUGGUAUGUACUGGUUUUACUGAUCUCUCCUUCUUGUAGAACCGUAAUGCCAUUAAUUUGGUGUUGCGGGGAAACAGGACUGUUACUUUGAAAAAAUUAGAGUGUUUAAAGCAGGCUAACGCUUGAAUACAUUAGCAUGGAAUAAUGAAAUAGGACGUUCGACCCUAUUUUGUUGGUUUCUAGGAUUGACGUAAUGAUUAAUAGGGAUAGUUGGGGGCAUUAGUAUUCAAUUGUCAGAGGUGAAAUUCUUGGAUUUAUUGAAGACUAACUACUGCGAAAGCAUUUGCCAAGGAUGUUUUCAUUAAUCAAGAACGAAAGUUAGGGGAUCGAAGACGAUCAGAUACCGUCGUAGUCUUAACCAUAAACUAUGCCGACUAGGGAUCGGAUGAUGUUAAUUUUUUAAUGACUCAUUCGGCGCCUUACGGGAAACCAAAGUGUUUGGGUUC
rnacentral:rRNA from 1 species